rnacentral:rRNA from 1 species
GGUUCAUUCAAAUUUCUUCCCUAUCAACUUUCGAUGUUUGGGUAUUGGCCAAACAUGGUUGCAACGGGUAACCGGAGGUUAGGGCUCGACCCCGGAGAAGGAGCCUGAGAAACGGCUACUACAUCCAAGGAAGGCAGCAGGCGCGCAAAUUACCCAAUCCCAAUCGGGGAGGUAGUGACAAUAAAUACUGAUACAGGGCCCUUUCGGGUCUUGUAAUCGGAAUGAGUACAAUUUAAAUCUCUUAACGAGGAACAAUUGGAGGGCAAGUCUGGUGCCAGCAGCCGCGGUAAUUCCAGCUCCAAUAGCGUAUAUUAAAGUUGUUGUGGUUAAAAAGCUCGUAGUUG